GCAACCCGCCUUAAAAGUAGAAACUGAUGACAUUCUCACAAGGAAAAGCAGAGCAUUUCAACAUCAGCCAUGGGAAGCUACAAGCUCUUUGUGCAAUGACCAGUCAGCCCACAGCCAGCACAGGAUAUUGCUGCAGGCGGCCGUUCAAGGCCGUACAAACAGGGAGGGAGAUCUAUAAUGACUCUGAGAUCCUCUCAGGGCUUUAGUCUUUUCAACCCUCAAUCACCAUCUCUGCAGAAUGGGAAGAAUCCCACUUCCUACUGAACCCCAUCAGGGAGAUGUUCUUUUUUUUCAAGAGACAAAAAUAAUAACUGAAAAUUACUUUUGAUUGCUCAGAAAAGUGGCUAGUUACAAAAGUGAAGUGUCACUCACUAUUAUUACCUGUGAGGCAAUCCUUCCCACCCCACCUUGUCCUGGGGCUGCAUUGUGAAGCUGUGUGUGUGUGACAGGCUAUUUUUAAAUUCCCAUCUCUGGAAACAUAUGGUCCUGUGCCAUGCCAAAGCAAGAAAAAUGACCUGCUUAGGUCUGUUUGCUUGUUUGUUUUGGUGGAAUAUUGUCUGUAUUCCUGAGAAGGACGUCUUCUGUUCUGAACAUUGAAGACCCAGGAUCCAAGUCUUUAGGUCAAAUGAUGAAUAAAGGCAGAAUUGCAGAUGAUUCAACACACUUUAUUCAACAAAAGGGCAUUUAUCAGUGAAAUGGUGAGAAGACUUACAAGAUACAGCAACACAAACAUCUCUAUUCCAAACAGGAGGAACCAUACCAGGAAAGACCAGACCAAAGCAAGACUGAAACCUAGCAGGAUACAUGAAAGAAACCUGACGGCUCCAUGGAUGAUAUCAUGGUGGCAUCAUACAAACUCCAACACAUUUGCAUUCUAGCUGCAGUACACAUGGGCUCUCUCUUAGGGAUGCAGGUUUCCUUGGCACGUGCUCCCCUGUGCUGGCAUCUCUAACAUCUCCAGGUCUCUGGUGCAACUUGAACUUUCACUUAACCAAUUGCUAAACUGACCUUCUAGGGGCUCCUUUUCAAGACAUCUAUCUAUCCAUGCUCCACAUUCCCUGGCUGUAUAGACUUUUCCCUGGAAUCUUUAUGCAAGUCACUAUGAACCCACAACCACAUAGUUAGGCUUAGCUACCAUUACAACCCUGCUCCUUGGUACCAACGUCCUGCUUUUCUCAUUAAGAUUGAAAGGCCAACGGAAAGAAGUUAAGGUAGGAAGGAAUUAGUUGGAUUCACAGUUUUAGGGGUCUUAGGGGAAGGCACAGCAGGACUCACAGUGGCGGGAGUAUUGUAGCAGGGAGCUUGUUUGUAUGCCAUUAGACAGGAAGCCUGAACCAACAUCAGUUAUAACCUAUAAAGGCCAAGCCCUAGUGACCCACUUCCAAUAGUCCAGCCUCACCUCCCAAGGCUCCACAAACUUCAAAAUAGUAGCACAAACUGUGACAAAGUAUUCAAACUGUAAGCCUAUGGGGAACAUUUCACAUUCAAGUCUUCAUGCAAGCCAGAUUCUUCAUGGAAGUUUGGCUGGAGAGUGUUCCAUGCCUUUCUGAUCUGCUUGUGUUGUACCAAAGAGAACCAGAAGCAAUUUGGGGUGGUUUUGUUUAGGAGUACAGCAAUCUAGGAUGUUGCUCUGGACAACUUUUACAGAUGCCAUUUCCAGGCUUCUGUGACCAACACAGACCAGAAGGACAGGAGCCUGACGAUGCUGACAUUAGAUAUCAAUUCAUGUGUGUGUGUGUGUGUAUGUGUGUGUGUGUGUGUGUGUGUGUAUGUAU